UUAGGAUUCGACAGGGUUAUCGAAGCGUCUAGUGCACGUCGGAGGGUUGUCUUCGUACCAACACAUUCAGUUAUAAUAACUGGCAAACAAAACAAUUUCGCAGUAGCUGCCUAAUCGCACUCUGCACCUCCUCUCUUUAUCGCCUAUGUAAAGUGAUGCGAGGUUCAACCUAAGUAGGAUACGCUAAACACUGCCGUCUUAAGUCGUUUAGAAGAGAUGAAUAAGACUCGCCACAUGUUGGAGUGUCGUAUGAUCAAUCAUGUGGUUAAACUUAACCAUACGACUAAGCGUGUAGUACUAGACGUGUAGAAGCUCUGGACGCGG
rnacentral:tmRNA from 1 species